rnacentral:lncRNA from 10 species
ACUGCGCCCGAGAGGCAGCGCUCAGACAGCGGGGAGGAGGCGGCCGCGGAGCCCCCGGAGAUGGAGGGUGAAGGCCUGCUUUCAAAGUAUCCCACGUCGUUCAGCAAAGAUUCGUCAUUUAGAAUUCAGACCUGCCAAGACCACGGAUGCUUUGUCUCAGCUCGGAUAUCUUCAUUUCUCCUUCUUACAGUUUCCUUGUUUCCGAGGAAAAACACAAGAUCUUGACAACUGCAAUCACCUGGUAACCAAUCAUGAAUCUGGUAUGGACCACUUUCACCCUGCACCCUGUCAGGCAGUUUCCAUCUUCUCACAAUCUUCACAAGAAUCCUACAGAAACAAGACGUAUCCCCCGAUUUACUGAUGAUGAUCCUUCAGCCCAGAGAUGCACUCUCCAUCGGCUGAACCCAACUGGAAGUCGGAGGGUAAAGGGCCCAUGACUCAGUCCGUUCAGGCUGACCCGCCUGGGGCUCAGAGCAUAACAGACAAGGGUGGGGAAGAAAAAAGAAUGGACUUGGAGAAGCAAAUGGGAAAUAUUCAGGCACUUCUGAUCUCAGUUUGGCCAGUCGGCUCCCCUCUCUCUGACUGUAAACACAGAGAUACAGAAACUGUCAUUAGAAAUGAGUAGUGUUAAUGAUCCAUGACAGAAAGCUCGUGAAUUUCUACUGCUGAGGAGGCUUGAGCUUUUCUGUUUUCAUUCUUUCUACACAUCGGGAGCGGAGCUCCCCAAUGCCUUUCUGAUACAUCGCUACUUCUGCUUCACCUAAUCAAAGGCACUUACUGCUGCUCAGAACCUCAGGCCUCCAACUGAACAAUGAACAGGUUUUCUCUCCAUCACCCCCUGUUCUCUAGUGUGAGUAGUUAGAUUACUGCUUUUAUGUCUGUCUUCCCAACUACAGUCCACAAAACGGCUCAUAUUGAACAGUAAUACAAAUAAAGAGAAAAAGGAGAGAAGACAAGAACAAAAAGUAAUGAGUUUAGAAACUUGGAAAGUAGAAACUUCUUUGGUAUGUUCCUGUUGAAAACCACUGGUCUCAUCUUCCACUUUUUCACAUUGCUGUUUCAGAGAAAAACUUAAUUAUACUUAAUUAUAGGGUUGUAAUGUUUAUAGGGUUGGUUAUUCUGGUUAGCCAAAUUUACUGGUUAUCUGUUUAGAGCCUUUGAAUUUUAAUUCUAGCUGACACAUUUGUUAAAACAUUAUUAGCUUACCUUUCUUCCUUAAUGAGUACUGGAUCUUCCCAGAGAAAAGGUUCCCAGUCAUUUACCUGGAAUUUUUUAUACAUAUUUGCAGCUGUUCUUUGAGCUCCCUAAAGAGCAUAAUUAGAGACAUAACAUUCACUCAGAUUUUCUGCCCUUCUUUGUAAUAAGUCAAUGAGCCAGUCAUUUAUUCCACAAAUAUUUGUUGAUACCUACUGUGUGCCUGUCAGCAGUUCUCCAAGCAGGGGCUACAAAAAUAAAAAGAUUGUCUUUUAAUGAGGAGCAACUUCGAGUCUUAGCUCUUGGUACUCCCUCUGUCUAGUAAUAUCCAUUUUUAUACUUAGUAUUUUAAUAAAUAACUCUUCCUCAAAUUAUUUUAAAACACACAGUAACAGAAAAAAUUAUUUAUUUAUUCUACUUUCUCUUAAUUACACCUGUGGGGAGCUUGGCGGGGCAGACUCUGGGUUUCCAGCCAAGGUCUUUCUGUCCACCUGGGGGCAGCAGACCCUCACACAGAAAAGUACCUCGAAGGAAGCAAUUGGCUUUCUGAGCUCCUGGCUUUCAAACACAAGUCUUCCAAAUUAUGGACCCAUGAAUAUUCUAAAGACUUAUACUCGAAGGACGCUUCCAAAAUCAAAUAAAUUUGGGUUGAACCAAGUUAAAUAGGGUUUUAACCCUGCAGGACUUCUCACGAUGUUUAAUAUACUUUUUUUUUUCUUUUCUUUCUUUCUUCGACAGAGUCUCGCUGUAUUGCCAGACUGGAGUGCAGUGGCGUGAUCUCGGCUCACUGCAACCUCCGCCUCCCAGGUUCAACUGAUUCUCCUGCCUCAGCCUCCUGAGUAGCUGGGACUACAGGCGCCCACCACCACGCCCAGCUAAUUUUUUUUUAUUUUUAGUAGAGAUGGGGUUUCACCAUGCUGGCCAAGCUGGUCUCGAAUUCCUGACCUCAGGUGAUCCACCCGCGUUAGCCUCCCAAAGUGCUGACAUUACAGGUGUGAGCCACUGCGCCGGGCCUAAUAUAGUUUUGUCGUACAAAACACGAUGGCAUACUUGCUCUGUGCAAAGUACAUCACCCACAGUGGCCUAUUUAAACUUGGCAACAGUCCUAUGAGAUAGGCACUAAUUGUGUUCCCCAUUUUACAAAUGAGGAAACAGAGGCACGGAGCUUAUAACUGGUGGCUGAGUUUCCGGUUGGGGCCAUCUAGUUACAGAACUUGCAUGCUUAAUCAUGACACCGUAAUGCUUUGCAAUGGGAGAUUCCAAGAGGGGGAAUUUGACAUUCAGUGUUUCCCAAAUUUAUUUGGCUUUGGAACCCUUUUAUUCCUUCUAAUCAACAUAGAGGACAAGUAUGUAAUGGGAUACUCUGAUAAAUGCUUCAAUAAAGCAAUGGCUUUAUGCCGCCCCGCUUUAAAAGAUAACUAAAAAUAUAAGUCCACAGGCCCAUCAUAUAAUUGAACAGGUAACGACUGAAUUUUGAUUUGAUGGAAAGACUCUUAUCAUAUUAAUCUAAGUUCUCAAAGUGAAUGCCACUAAACCAAGACUAUUCAGUGUAUUUGAAGUAUGUACAAUACCAGUCCGAAUUGGGACUUCUCAGGAAGAAAAAAGGGUAUAUGGCAGAUGGGUAAGAAUAGAAAGCCACAGGUCUAGCAGGGAAGCUAAAUAUGGUGUGGAAUGUGUUGGGGAGAUGGGAAAAAUGCUCACCUCUUCAUGGAAGUUCGAAAAGAAGGCUGAGAUUCUAAAUAAUGCUGGAGUAUUGCAGCUGGAACAAGCAUGAUAGCAAUGGCCAACACAAGGCCUUUCUAGAAUAAAUCUAAAACAAUUAAGAGAUAAUAUGAUAGCAUUGGGAGAUAUACCUAAUGCUAGAUGACGAGUUAGUGGGUGCAGCGCACCAGCAUGGCACAUGUAUACAUAUGUAACUAACCUGCACAUUGUGCACAUGUACCCUAAAACUUAAAGUAUAAUAAUAAUAAAAAGAAAAGAAAAAAAAAAGAGAUAAUAUGCCAGGGGGUUGAUGCCAGGUAAUACUGAUAGUUACCUUAAACAAUGUUUUCUCAACUUCAGUUUUUUACACACCAACUUCAUGAUUUUUUUCUAUCAAGAUACGACUACUAUUAUUUAUCUAGCGUUUUUUAAAUUGUCUUAUAUCUUUGCUUAAAUUUAUUUUUUUAAACAUUAAUAUCUGAGAAUUCAUCAUUUUGAAGGAAUAAUUAUAUUGUUCUAAUAUAUAAAUUUUAAAGUUAAUAUCUUUAUUCCAUCUAAAGUGGUAUGUGUACUAUUCUUUGGAAAUGAUUUUCUAAAGGAUUAAAAACUUGCCAGUGUUGGAAAAAAAAGGAAACAGGAAAAUUAAGACUGAGUUAAAGAAGGUGAAAACAAAAUUGAAGAAUAAGACUAAAGGUUAGACAUGAAAUAGAUCUGUCUCUAAUUAGAGGUGCAAUGUCAAAUUUUUUUGUAGAUCGUUCUAAAAAUAUCACUUGUUCUUUUGCUUGUAUUUUAAUUCAAUGAUUAAAUAAACAGAUGACCUAGUU